rnacentral:rRNA from 1 species
AAGGCCUUCGGGUUGUAAACCGCUUUUGUCAGGGAAGAAAAGUCUCGGGUUAAUACCUUGGGAUGAUGACGGUACCUGAAGAAUAAGCACCGGCUAACUACGUGC